rnacentral:tRNA from 1 species
UGAUCCGUAGUGUAAUGGUUACCACACAAGAUUUUGGUUCUUGGAAUCCCUGUUCGAGUCAGGGCGGAUCAA